ACCUGCGUAGAUCCUCUGGGCAGAAGCGGCCUCCGGAGCCGUGUGCGCAGGUUCGAAUCCUGCCGGGGGCA
rnacentral:tRNA from 1 species